rnacentral:rRNA from 1 species
GACGAACCGUGCGAACGUUAUUCGGAAUCAUUGGGCUUAAAGCGCGUGUAGGCGGAUUCGUGCGUCUGUCGUUGAAAUCCCCCGGCUCAACCGGGGAAGUGGCGCGGAUACGACGAGUCUGGAGGGGCAUAGGGGGAGCCUGGAACUUCCGGUGGAGCGGUGAAAUGCGUUGAGAUCGGAAGGAACGCCCGUGGCGAAAGCGAGGUCCUGGAUGCCUACUGACGCUGAGACGCGAAAGCCAGGGGAGCGAACGGG